rnacentral:rRNA from 1 species
UACGUAGGGUGCAAGCGUUAAUCGGAAUUACUGGGCGUAAAGCGUGCGCAGGCGGUGAUGUAAGACAGAUGUGAAAUCCCCGGGCUCAACCUGGGAACUGCAUUUGUGACUGCAUCGCUGGAGUACGGCAGAGGGGGAUGGAAUUCCGCGUGUAGCGGUGAAAUGCGCAGAUAUCGGAAGGAACACCAGUAGCGAAGGCGGUACUCUGGGCCGGAACUGACGCUGAGGAGCGAAAGCGUGGGGAGCGAACAGG